GAGCUGGUCCAGCCUGGCCGCAAGCUGUUAACCCAAAUAAUUAUGCCUUCAUUAACUUUAUUGUGUGUGUAAGUGGUUUUUUGAUAAAGCUACUGAGUUAUGGCCAAAGCACUUGCCGCCUCAACCGCUGCCGGCAAAUUAAUUGCCACAAAUUGGGCCUCCACAGAAAACGAACGAACAAAAAAGUGAAUAUCGUUUUGCCAAAUGACACAAAUUUAGCAAACAUUAAACUACAGAUUUCCAAAUAUUUUUUUGGGGAUUUUUCGUGUGUUGGUCGCUUAGCAAAAGGGUUCGUUUCCGUAUCCGCAGCCAGACGGCGGUGGCACGGUGCCCCGGGCAGAACCAUAACAAGGCUCUUGUCAUGCUGCCUGCCGUUCGUGACACGUCGAUUUGGCUACCCUCUUGUCGGGACUCAAUACGAGUGCGAGUACGAGUAUAUGUAUUUGCGGUAGGUAAAAUGUAGGCAACAAAAAUCGUCUAAGCUGAGAGACGACAAACAACCGCACUAUUAUUUUUAAUGGCCAAACAUUACAAGCCACGUCGCCAGGGGAUGGGAUGGGAUGGGAUGGGUAACCGGAAAGGCGAAAGGGAUCUGCAAGCGAAAGCGAACAUAAAAAUAAAUAAGAACAAAUUGGCAGGCAAAUGUUUAGUUUGUGGCAACAUGUUGCCAACCAGCGCAGUCCUCUGCCAUCCUCUCCUCCUCUCUGCUCUCCUCACGGGCAACAACUUAAAAGUUGGCACUGCCACCUGCCUCCCGUUGUCGCCCAUCGCACUCUCUGUGGCCAUCCUUUGAGUUGCCUUUGAGCUAUUUUAUAAUUAGUCCCAGCCAUGACAAAAAGUUUUUGGCAAAACAACUUAAGCGCCAGCCGCCGCUCCACGGGGUCCGUUUAGCUAACCAACCGCAUACGGCGCACGUGAGGGUGAGGCACGACACCAACAAUGAGCUUCUGUCGCCGUUCAUGUGUGGGUGGCUGCCAGUAGUGUCUGCCGAUGGGUGUUGCACAGAGGUGGCUGCGUAGUUUGCCCCACAUUAAAUACUAUGGAAAAUAAUGCUCGACAUAUGUAUGGCAAAAAAAAAAAAUAGAGGAAGGGUAAAAUUUAUAUAAAAUCAGGAAAAAGUUUUCUCGCAUGCUCGACUGCGCCUAAAUUAGUUUGGGGAGCAGCCAAGGGUUUGUGGGUGGCUUAGUUUUUGAUUUCGCCCUCGGGUGAUCAACCCGCCCCCUGCUCCCUGC
rnacentral:lncRNA from 1 species